GGGGGUAUACAUGCAAGUCGAACGAACUUCCGUUAAUUGAUUAUGACGUGCUUGCACUGAAUGAGAUUUUAACACGAAGUGAGUGGCGGACGGGUGAGUAACACGUGGGUAACCUGCCCAGAAGCAGGGGAUAACACCUGGAAACAGAUGCUAAUACCGUAUAACAGAGAAAACCGCCUGGUUUUCUUUUAAAAGAUGGCUCUGCUAUCACUUCUGGAUGGACCCGCGGCGCAUUAGCUAGUUGGUGAGGUAACGGCUCACCAAGGCGAUGAUGCGUAGCCGACCUGAGAGGGUAAUCGGCCACAUUGGGACUGAGACACGGCCCAGACUGCUACGGGAGGCAGCAGUAGGGAAUCAUCCACAAUGGACGCAAGUCUGAUGGAGCAACGCCGCGUGAGUGAAGAAGGGUUUCGGCUCGUAAAGCUCUGUUGUUAAAGAAGAACGUGGGUGAGAGUAACUCUUCACCCAGUGACGGUAUUUAACCAGAAAGCCACGGCUAACUACGUGCCAGCAGCCGCGGUAAUACGUAGGUGGCAAGCGUUAUCCGGAUUUAUUGGGCGUAAAGCGAGCGCAGGCGGUCUUUUAAGUCUAAUGUGAAAGCCUUCGGCUCAACCGAAGAAGUGCAUUGGAAACUGGGAGACUUGAGUGCAGAAGAGGACAGUGGAACUCCAUGUGUAGCGGUGAAAUGCGUAGAUCGU
rnacentral:rRNA from 1 species